rnacentral:rRNA from 1 species
AGAGCGAACGCUGGCGGCGUGCUUAACACAUGCAAGUCGAACGCGCAGCAUUCUGUAGCAAUACAGGGUGUGGGCGCGUGGCGAACGGGUGCGUAACACGUGGAUAACCUUCCUUCAGGUGGGGAAUAACCCAGUGAAAAUUGGGCUAAUACCGCAUAACAAAACGAUGAGACAUCUUGUUGUUUUCAAAGGCGCAAGUCGCCAGAAGAGGGAUCCGCGGCCGAUUAGCUUGUUGGCGAGGUAAUGGCUCACCAAGGCAAUGAUCGGUAGCCGGACUGAGAGGUUGGCCGGCCACACUGGAACUGAGACACGGUCCAGACUCCUACGGGAGGCAGCAGUGGGGAAUCUUGCACAAUGGGCGAAAGCCUGAUGCAGCAACGCCGCGUGGGGGAUGAAGCUUCUCGGAGUGUAAACCCUUUCGACCCGGAAGAAAGCCCGCAAGGGUUGACGGUACGGGUAUAAGAAGCCCCGGCUAACUACGUGCCAGCAGCCGCGGUAAUCUGA